rnacentral:misc_RNA from 1 species
GAUGAAGAACGCAGCGAAAUGCGAUAAGUAAUGUGAAUUGCAGAAUUCAGUGAAUCAUCGAAUCUUUGAACGCACAUUGCGCCCGCCAGUAUUCUGGCGGGCAUGCCUGUCCGAGCGUCAUUUCAACCCUCGAACCCCUCCGGGGGGUCGGCGUUGGGGAUCGGCCCUUUCACCGGGUGCCGUCCCCCAAAUACAGUGGCGGUCUCGCCGCAGCCUCUCAUGCGCAGUAGUUUGCACACUCGCACCGGGAGCGCGGCGCGUCCACGUCCGUAAAACUCCCCAAACUUCUGAAAUGUUGACCUCGGAUCAGGUAGGAAUACCCGCUGAACUUAAGCAUAUCAAUAAGCGGAGGA